rnacentral:rRNA from 1 species
AUACAGAGGGUGCAAGCGUUAAUCGGAUUUACUGGGCGUAAAGCGCGCGUAGGUGGCUAAUUAAGUCAAAUGUGAAAUCCCCGAGCUUAACUUGGGAAUUGCAUUCGAUACUGGUUAGCUAGAGUAUGGGAGAGGAUGGUAGAAUUCCAGGUGUAGCGGUGAAAUGCGUAGAGAUCUGGAGGAAUACCGAUGGCGAAGGCAGCCAUCUGGCCUAAUACUGACACUGAGGUGCGAAAGCAUGGGGAGCAAACAGGAUUAGAUACCCUGGUAGUCCAUGCCGGAAACGAUGUCUACUAGCCGUUGGGGCCCUUGAGGCUUUAGUGGCGCAGCUAACGCGAUAAGUAGACCGCCUGGGGAGUACGGUCGCAAGACUAAAACUCAAAUGAAUUGACGGGG